CGAUUAGCUCUGCCUCAUGCGGCUGGUGGAAAUGGAGGUGGCCCGGCGCGGCAGCGACUUCGCCCGUACUGAGAGGCGAGUGACCCAGCAGCUGACUCCGGAAUGGAAGGUGGCCAGUGGAUGGCAUCAGAAUGAAGUGACCCAAGUGUCGACUGGACAAAUAACAAAGAUUGGAAUCUCUGUUCUCUGAAUGCUGGGACUGGCCUUUACAGGUGUGAAUCUGGUCAAGUCAAAGUGUCUGCUGCUGAGCCUCUGACUCCGAAUAUAAAGUUGGAUUGUGGAUGGCACCAGCCCAAUUCCAAACAUGAAGUUAGCCUGUGGAUUGGAUGGCAUCAGAUUCUGGUUUCUGUUCUCAAAAGUAUGACUGGCCUUAAACAGGUGUCAGGAUACAACUACUGUGACAAUUGAACUGAGGUUCAUUGGGAGCAGCUUGUGGUAUUGUCUUGGGUCCUCAUCUGAUCGGUAGGGGUACAAAACACGGAGCUUGCAAGCAGAUAUCAGCUAUUUUUUUGCCCUGUCUACGAGUAUGUCAAUUCAAUAUGUAACGCUGGGAUAAUAAAAUAAAUACUGCUCUUU